UUGAUCACAUGUUCAUCCUCAGUUUACUGUCAGUCUUUGUGAUCACAGAUAUUAAAGCAGCUUUUCUCUGUUGUGGAACAAAGUGAAUGUAAAACAGGACACAUGUCUCCUGAAACGUCCAAUGAUGAGUCCACACAACAGCGUCAGCAGUAGGAAAGGAGAGAGGCCCAAAGUGUGUUAGUGUUGUGUUGGGGCUGUGAAUGAGCCCUGUCACUGUGAUCAGCUUCCUCCUUCUAAUCCACCAACUCAGUGUUGAUGAAGACUACACAGAGAGAUCACAGCCUUCUUUAGACUCAACACUGCACACAUGACGCCUCUGUUCAUCUCAGUGCUGCUGGCUGCUACGAGCCUCGAAUGCAGAGCGCAAAAAGACAACGUGCAGCAACCAGAAGGAGAUGAGACUGCUGCUGAAGGAGAGGCAGUAACACUUGGCUGUCAAUAUAACAGCACUUCAUCUAUUCACUAUCUGUUCUGGUACAAACAGGAUGGAAACAACAGCCCCAAAUUCAUCCUGAGCCACUUUACAGUCGGCUCGGGGAAAACAGAGGACCAGGAGAGAUUUUCAUCCACACUGAAUUCAGCCUUAAGAUCAGUUCCUCUGAGGAUCCAGAAGCUUCAGCUGUCAGACUCUGCUGUGUACUACUGUGCUCUGCAGCCCACAGUGACAGGAAACACCAAAACUCUGUACAAAAACCUUUGGAGCAAAGACAACACAAUACUCCACAACGUCCACUAGAGGGAGUCACACUCUGUUCCACUUCAACAGGAGCUGAUGAUCCAGUCUAGAUUGUUUCCCCUCAUGAGUUCAGAGGAAACAAAACCAGACUGGACGGAGUACUUCUCUACACUAUUUUUUCUGUCAAGUAAUUUUUUUUAAACAAGAAUUUUUUUCUUUUUUGUCAAAUAUUUCUUUUGUAUUUUUGUUUUUAAAACAUUUUAAAAAAAAAUGUAUUAAGUAUUUUUUCGUAUUUGCUUUUGUCCAAUAAUUUUU